AUACGGAGGGUGCGAGCGUUGUUCGGAAUUACUGGGCGUAAAGGGCGCGCAGGCGGCUUGAUAAGUCAGAUGUGAAAGCCCACGGCUCAACCGUGGAAGUGCAUCUGAAACUGUCUGGCUUGAGUACUGGAGAGGAAAGUGGAAUUCCUGGUGUAGAGGUGAAAUUCGUAGAUAUCAGGAGGAACACCGGUGGCGAAGGCGACUUUCUGGACAGAUUCUGACGCUGAGGCGCGAAAGCGUGGGGAGCAAACAGGAGUAGAAACCCCAGUAGUCC
rnacentral:rRNA from 1 species